GACCGCACGGGAUAAUCAAUUAUCCCAUGCGGUGCACUUAACCCGACCGCACGGGAAAAUGAUUAUCCUGUGCGGUU
rnacentral:pre_miRNA from 18 species